rnacentral:rRNA from 1 species
GACGAACGCUGGCGGCGUGCUUAACACAUGCAAGUCGAACGGAAAGGCCCUGCUUUUGUGGGGUGCUCGAGUGGCGAACGGGUGAGUAACACGUGAGUAACCUGCCCUUGACUUUGGGAUAACUUCAGGAAACUGGGGCUAAUACCGGAUAGGAGCUCCUGCUGCAUGGUGGGGGUUGGAAAGUUUCGGCGGUUGGGGAUGGACUCGCGGCUUAUCGGCUUGUUGGGGGGGUAGUGGCUUACCAAGGCUUUGACGGGUAGCCGGCCUGGGCGGGUGACCGGCCACAUGGGGACUGAGGUACGGCCCAGACGCCUACGGGAGGCAGCAGGGGGGAAUAUUGCACAAUGGGCGGAAGCCUGAUGCAGCAACGCCGCGUGCGUGAUGACGGCCUUCGGGUUGUAAACCGCUUUCGCCUGUGACGAAGCGUGAGUGACGGUAAUGGGUAAAGAAGCACCGGCUAACUACGUG